rnacentral:rRNA from 1 species
UUUGUUUUUUAAUUAAAAACUAGAAUGAAAGGUUAUACAUUCAAAUUUCUUUAUUAAUUUUUAAUAAAUAAUUUAUAUUAAAUAURAAAAUAUAUUUAUAAAAAAAAAAGACGACAAGACCCUAUUAAAUUUUACUUAUAGUUUAGCUGGGGAAGCUUUCCAAUUAAAAUUUUUUAAAUUAAAUAAAUAAAAAUCUAAUAAAAUUAAAAUUUUAAUAAAUUACUAUAGGGAUAACAGCAUUAUAUUUUUUUAAAGUUCAUAUUAAAAAAAAUGAUUGUGACCUCGAUGUUGAAUUAUAUUUUCUAUAUUAAUGCAAUAAUUAUAAAAGUAGAUCUGUUCGAUCUUUAAAAUAUUACAUGAUUUGAGUUCAAACCGGUGUAAACCAGGUUGGUUUCUAUCUUUUUAUAUAUUUUUCCAGUACGAAAGGACAAAAAAAUUUUUAUUCUAAUAAAUUAGCAAAUAAAUGCAUUAGACUUAGAAUCUAAUUAUAUUUAAU